rnacentral:tRNA from 1 species
GGAGAGGUGCGAGAGCGGUUGAAUCGGGCUGCCUGCUAAGCAGUUGUGGCGCAAGCCACCAUGGGUUCGAAUCCCAUCCUCUCCGCCA